rnacentral:lncRNA from 1 species
AUUCGCUAUAAAUUUUCAAGUUUACAAGAAGUUUGGAGAUUUGCUAGUGGUUUGCAGAUUUGCUAGAGGUUUGCAGAUUCGCUAGAGGUUUGCAGAUUCGCUAGAGGUUUGCAGAUUCGCUAGAGGUUUGCAGAUUCGCUAGAGGUUUGCAGAUU